CAGAGGGUGCAAGCGUUAAUCGGAUUUACUGGGCGUAAAGCGCGCGUAGGUGGCCAAUUAAGUCAAAUGUGAAAUCCCCGAGCUUAACUUGGGAAUUGCAUUCGAUACUGGUUGGCUAGAGUAUGGGAGAGGAUGGUAGAAUUCCAGGUGUAGCGGUGAAAUGCGUAGAGAUCUGGAGGAAUACCGAUGGCGAAGGCAGCCAUCUGGCCUAAAUACUGACACUGAGGUGACGAAAAGCAUGGGGGAGCAAAACAGGAUU
rnacentral:rRNA from 1 species